GUGAAUCAUCGAAUUUUUGAACGCAAAUUGCACUCUCUGGUAUUCCGGGGAGUAUGCCUGUUUGAGGGUCAGUUUAAAUUAAAAAUCGAGGUGUUGCUUUUUUUUUUGCGGCUUGGGAAUGGGGUUAUCUUUUUCCUUUGGAUUUUUUAGGAGACCUAAAAUGGAUACUUUGUGCAUUCCGAACGA
rnacentral:misc_RNA from 1 species